rnacentral:rRNA from 1 species
GACAAGAUGGAGGACGAGUGUUACUUAUCAUUUCUGGGUGUAAAGCGCCGUUAAACAACGCUUAGUCACUUCCCCAUAAUGGGUAUUGAUGAUUACGUAUUUUGGAUUUAAAUAGGAUUCUUUAAAUACACUUAAUAAAGGCUAAAUUUAACGAAUUUGUGGGGAAAACCAAUGGCGGCAACAUGAAUCUAUUUUUAAUUGACGUUGAAAGGCUAAAGAAGGGAGAACAAACAGG